rnacentral:lncRNA from 1 species
UGGAAACUUGUGGUCACUUGUUUUAAUCUACUUGCACUUAAAUAACAACAGAAGCAGACUAUGCUUAAUCAUUGACUCUGGCAUCAAUAGUUGAAAUAAUUUGAAAUCGUCGUUGACUCAUUACAGUAGUUGCUGGAGAUACAAGCCCACCACUGUGUACUACCAGGUCUGAAUCCAUUCUUCAAGAUCCUAUAUUUGCAAGAAUCAAAUCGUAUAGUAGAUGCAACUAUAAUACGCAAGCAAUAGGUCUUGGAGAAAUUAUUGCUUAAAUGAAAUGUACUCAAAAAUUUAUGCAGUAAAAUUCGGAUUAAAGUAUUGCAGAAGAAUCAAAAUGGUUAUCACGGAAUGCAAGCUCACAAUCUAGUGAUCCUGUGUAAAAGUUGGUGUCAGUUCAAAGAUAGGUGUAAAUAAAUGAGUAUUUUGCAGAGCUACAUAUUCAACAGAGAAACCAAAAUUUGCAAGGCUCGACAGGUUUAUGAAACUUCUAAGAAAGUUAUUAUUGGGAAGACAAAGCUAUAACCUCACAUUGGGAGUUCUGUAAUACAAAACCAUCUGAUUGAUCACAGCACUUGAUAUUUGAAGAGUUUCGCGACAGAUAGUAAAUAGUGCAAGCUUAUGGCCUUUAUCGAGAACCAUUAAAUUUCAGGCCUUACUCAUUUCCCACGAGUAAUUUUGCAAAUUGUUUUGUAUGCUUGAACCUAGACAAGAAGAUCUUAUUGUGCAUCAUAUUGAUUUUGGAAUUUCAGUACAAUUGUAAAGCACAAGGCCAAAUCCAAUAGGUCAAGAUACAAAACAAUUCCAAUGACAAACUUUGUUAAGAUUUACGAUUUUGAUCGUAACCAUAAUAUACCUUUGAUUCAAUAUGCAAUGUUAUAUGAUGCCUCAAAUUGAUGCAGUUGUUCAAGUCUAUGACGUGAAAAGUUUCCAAAUUAGAUCCUCAGUUUCUAAAGAUAAGAGCAAAAACAGUGAGAAAAUAAUAUGACAGAAGAACCCUAUAUGGUCCAUUGGUCCCAAGAGGAAAAAGGAAAAGAAAAUCAAUAAAAGAACAGUACAUAAACAUAAAACCCAAUUCCCAGAUUUGUAGAAAACACAUAUAUUGAGUACAAAAUAACCAUCUUGCCAAGAAAUGUCAACUCUUACACACAAAUAACAGGACAGAAAAUAAUUAAAUCAUCCGCAUAGGCAAAAUUGGAACCCAAUCAAAAAGAUUAUGCAGGAGCAAGAACUACUCAAACAAGAUUCAUGAUUAGUGUUAUUCAGGGCAUAUACAUACAACUUUAAACAAAUUCAGAGAGAAAGAGAGACCUUGGAAAGAAGGGAGUAAGGCUGCUUCAAAGAGUGUAGUUGACGAGACGAGCUUAUUGUCCAAUGAUAGAGACAAAACAAUCAUUACUUUGUCAAAAUAUUUCCAGUGCAGGCCCGAUCUUUUCAGAUGGGAAAAUUACAGAGACGUAUUUAAAAAGGAUAUUUUUAUAAAAGGUGGGAUGUAAAACUUUUUGAGG